AUUGAACGCUGGCGGCAUGCCUUACACAUGCAAGUCGAACGGUAACAGGUCUUCGGAUGCUGACGAGUGGCGAACGGGUGAGUAAUACAUCGGAACGUGCCCGAUCGUGGGGGGAUAACGGAGCGAAAGCUUUGCUAAUACCGCAUACGAUCUACGGAUGAAAGCAGGGGACCGCAAGGCCUUGCGCGGACGGAGCGGCCGAUGGCAGAUUAGGUAGUUGGUGGGAUAAAAGCUUACCAAGCCGACGAUCUGUAGCUGGUCUGAGAGGACGACCAGCCACACUGGGACUGAGACACGGCCCAGACUCCUACGGGAGGCAGCAGUGGGGAAUUUUGGACAAUGGGCGCAAGCCUGAUCCAGCCAUGCCGCGUGCAGGAUGAAGGCCUUCGGUUGGUAACUGCUUUUGUACGGAACGAAAGACUCUUUCUAAUAAAGAGGGUCCAUGACGGUACCGUAAGAAUAAGACACCGGCUAACUACGUGCCAGCAGCCGCGGUAAACG
rnacentral:rRNA from 1 species